rnacentral:rRNA from 1 species
AUUGAACGCUGGCGGCAUGCUUUACACAUGCAAGUCGAACGGUAACAGGCCGCAAGGUGCUGACGAGUGGCGAACGGGUGAGUAAUGCAUCGGAACGUGCCCAGUCGUGGGGGAUAACUACUCGAAAGAGUAGCUAAUACCGCAUACGAUCUAUGGAUGAAAGCGGGGGACCGUAAGGCCUCGCGCGAUUGGAGCGGCCGAUGUCAGAUUAGGUAGUUGGUGGGGUAAAGGCUCACCAAGCCAACGAUCUGUAGCUGGUCUGAGAGGACGACCAGACACACUGGGAGUGAGACACGGCCCAGACUCCUACGGGAGGAAGCAGUGGGGAAUUUUGGACGAAGGGGGCAAGCCUGAUCCAGCAAUGCCGCGUGCAGGAAGAAGGACUUCGGGUUGUAAACUGCUUUUGUACGGAAGGAAACGGCUCUGGUUAAUACGCGGGGCUAAUGACGGUACCGUAAGAAGAAGCACCGGCUAACUACGUG